CGUGAUAUUUAUGGCAAUGAAACAAAAAUUUGCACAAUGUUUCGUGCAUUCCUGACGGUCUCUCCCCUCCCGACCCUGAAUCUUUUGAUACUCGGUCAAAAUAAUUAAUCACGAGCACACCGGUAAUUUUAUCCGGCAUCAACAAGGGAACAAGCGUACACGAAAUACACGAGAAGUCUUCUGUUUAUUAUUAGGAUUCGUAUAUUAUUCGAAAUCUAUAGUUGUAAAUCGACAGUGGAUAUCUUUUCAUUAUAAAUUUAGCUUUUUCAUGUAUCUAGCGUAGUGGAAAAAUUUACUUUUAAAAAUAGUUAUAUAGGAUUUAUUUCAUUCUUCUGACAGAAUUUGCUUUUUUUCUUACUGUUGCGAUUUUAAAGACUAGAAAUUAUCAUCAUAGUUAGAAUAUACUCUAUGCUUUAAUAUAUUUUGCUUCUCUUAUUUUGCGAAUUUGUAUUAUUUUCUUUUUUUUUUUGGUUUUCGCUUAUGUAAUCUUUUCCUAUCUUUCUUAUUUAUUUCAACCAGUUUGUAGGGUUCGACCUAUACAGGAAUGCAAUCGAUAGAGUUAUGCAACAUGGAGAAUUCAACAAAUCGCAGCAUUACGUGACCCGAACUUUUAACGCGCGCGACCGUUACACGAGAUAUUGAUUUGUCCCGUGGGUAAUCGAUGACGAGGCGCGAAUUUCUCCACGUUGCAUGAUCAAACAAACGACACUGAGGUGACAAGAGCGCUUUUCUUUUUAUUGAAAAUCUCUCGACAAAUCAAGUUCAACGAAGAAUUAUUCGUAUCUUAUUUCAACGUUUAAGAAGUCAUUAAUUUUCUUUUCAUUUGAUUUGCCUUGUUACGAUGUACAAAAUGCUCUCGUGAACUCAAUAUGUAUAUAAAAUACAAGCAAAAGGUCGAAUCAGAUUUAUCGUAAAUCGAAUUCAACUUUUUGUUACAGGCUUGCAGAUUCCUUCGAGUAAAGAAAGGAUACACAGCUAAUUAAAAAUAUUAAGGAGAUAUCCAAAAGAUGGAGUUUUCUAAAACAUCUCACACAUCUGUGAUCAAUGACUAGGUAUCGAAACAGUUUAAUAAAAAGUUAAAAUAACGAUUAAAUUCGUUCGAAUCGUUGAUCAAAAAAUGAAUGGAAUCCAUUUUUUUACUCGAGAAGGAUUAAUAUUCCAUCGAGAAGGACCGAUGAUAUUCUAUAGAAAAAAAAGAAUGAAGAAAUGUAACAAGUCCACAUAAACAACAUGUCACUAAACUAUUGAGAGGCUUGAGAUUCAUCUCCUCAAAUUGUCUUUCUCCGAUGAAUCGUUUUAUGUGUUUAUCGUAUGCUACAAUCUACGUAUGAUAAAUGACACCUAAUGUGAAAAACCGUGCGUACCAUCGGUUUGAUUUCGUCGCGAAUCUGGCCGGAAUCUGCCCAACUAUUAUUUAUUUGCGUUUCAUUUUCUCUGGUUUAGUACUUUAGCUUUCAGCAUCUACAUAUUCUUUAAAGAAAGAUGUUUCUCUUGUUAGUAGCAGCGUUUUUGUUAAUCUUCCAGGCCGCAGUGUCAUGCACUGUUGGUACGUGGCUUUAAUAAAAGACGCAGUGGUGUUUUAGGAAGAAUAUAACACAAUUUGAUACAAUAAUUAUUCAAGCGAUUUAACGAAAUUCCUUUAAUUAGCUGUUUGCAGCUAAAAGUGUUACAUGUACCAUAUGUACAUAUCGCUGUCGUUUAUCUUGUUUAUUGUUAAGCUUACUUCUAAGGUGUUGCAGUAAAAUAGUUAAAAUAGAGUAAAAACAAUAAAAAAUAAAUUAUAUGGGAAAGAUUAAUGAGUUACAUUCAACUCUUUUCAUUACCGUAUAGUACAUUUGACACUUUACCUAAAACACCCUAUGCUAAAAAGAUAGUAACAAGCUUAAUUAAUGCAUCGUGUUCCGUUCGCUGUUAAUCCGAUAAAAACGAAUAAAUAGGAGGGCAAAAAUGCAAGUUAAGGUUCACAAGGGUUUUGUCCCCGUUUUUGGGUGUUCUUUCAAAGCCGUGCGUGUUUCACCUAUCCGUAGCAAGCCGUAGAUGUAUAUGAUAAAAGCUUAUCGAAGCACGAUUCUUUCCUUCUAAAAGAGAAAAACGAAACAUUCGAGCCGCUCUCACAAAAAAAAAGAAAAAAAAAAGAAAGAAAUGAAAUGUAACACGACGCCACGUAACGUGUAAAAAAGUAUACUAACCUGGUGGGGGGUGAAAAAUACCGCCUCAAAAAAUCGCAUCGUACUCUCCAAAAACGGAGAGGAAAAAAGAGCGAUCAGAUAUUUUCUAAAAAUUUUCUUAUCUCAUUUUUUACACUGCUCGCCGGUCGCUCAAUGAAUCGCAAUACACUUAGAAAUUCGCCGCGAGGUACAAGUUAUUCCUGUUAAUCGUUACGAACUCGUGGCCAUCAUCAAGACUGCACGAAACACAGGUCUUUUCUACAAGGAUUUCUACAGAGUUUUUCUACAGAAUCUAUAUCGCUAUCUAUCUACUGCUACGAUUCUACUAGUUCGAAAAUUACUUUAAUCCGGUUAAUCAAUGCGUCACUGUCGAAGGAAAGAAUUAUAAUUAUAUUUGGUUGGUGGAGAAGUAACGAAGAGCAAAGCGAUUGCUACACAAUUUCAUUGUUUUCAUUGAUUUUAUUCUAUCUUAAUUUCUGCUGCAUUCUUUGAGUUGAUUUCGAUACAAAUCCAUCGUUAAACAAUUCUUUAACUUAUCGAUAGGUGUGAUUUUCUGUUGCAAUUUUUUUAAAAUAACAUUUCGAUUAAUUCGUCGUAUAUUUAAAUACACGAUUGCAACUUAGACCAAAGACUAGGUCGAUGAAAUUUUCGUACAAAGAUAUCGAUUUUGCUUUUAACAAAUUUAUUUGUAUCUUUUCCAUCUACGUAAUUUUUAGCAAAGAUUAGACAAUGAAAUGGGAUUUAUCAUAAUAUUUAGAAUCUGUUACAUUAUUUAUUGUAAAAUAGUGACUAUUUGAAAUUGUUCCUUUUAGUGCUAUCAAAGAUCAACGUUACUUUUCCACCAACUCGGUAUUAUAAUUGAUAAGCAGGUAAAGGGUUGGGGUUGGAGGGAUCGGAUUGAGAGAGAAGAAAAAAAGUACAUGCCAUCUCCUGAAAAAGAUAGAAAUUUUUGGAUCUAGCUGAAAUUAAUUAUCGCUUGUUAGUCGGAGGAAAAGAAUACUUCGAAUACGCGUGCGUAGUAAAGCAUAUAUUAAUUGGAAUGUUUGGGUCAAUUGCUCCACAUCGUCCUUGUAUCUCCUAUAUUCGAUUCUUUUCUUCAUUUUGUCUUCGUUUGUGAUAAUAUAAUAAUAACGAAUAUAAAAAUUAAGAAAUUGAAUAACGAAUGGAGAUAAGUGACGAUAUUGGAUCGAAUAGAUCAAUGGUAAAAAAUUAGAACGCGCAAGCGUCGAGAGAAAAUUUCCAGCUUUUUCAAGUUUGGCGGCCAUAUUGAAUUUCCUUUUAUUCACUCCUUUCGCUUUCCUUUUUUUUCAUUUUUCUUCUAUUUAUAAGUCUCACGACUAUUUUUUCUCCGAUGAAUUCAGCCUUCUACCGCAAUUAUUACGAUCGAAUCGCCGUCAUACGCUCUUCCUUUCUAUAUUUUUCUUCCGAUUACCUAUCCAAAUCGUUCUUUUAUUUUUGUUCUUUAAUUCAUCUGUCGUUCUUUUCGAUCCAGAUUAGUGUAA